GACGAACGCUGGCGGCGUGCUUAACACAUGCAAGUCGAACGGAAAGGCCCUGCUUUUGUGGGGUGCUCGAGUGGCGAACGGGUGAGUAACACGUGAGUAACCUGCCCUUGACUUUGGGAUAACUUCAGGAAACUGGGGCUAAUACCGGAUAGGAGCUCCUGCUGCAGGGUGGGGGUUGGAAAGUUUCGGCGGUUGGGGAUGGACUCGCGGCUUAUCAGCUUGUUGGUGGGGUAGUGGCUUACCAAGGCUUUGACGGGUAGCCGGCCUGGGAGGGUGAACGGCCACCUUGGGACUGAGGUACGGCCCAGUCUCCUACGUGAGGCAGCAGUGGGGAAUAUUGCCCAAUGGGCGGAAGCCUGAUGCAGCAACGCCGCGUGCGGGAUGACGGCCUUCGGGUUGUAAACCGCUUUCGCCUGUGACGAAGCGUGAGUGACGGUAAUGGGUAAAGAAGCACCGGCUAACUACGUG
rnacentral:rRNA from 1 species